rnacentral:lncRNA from 1 species
GGGAUAAACCAAAAGGACAGCCAGUAGGUGAGGAGAGGCCAUGGAAUACCCGCCAACAAGAUAAUCAUCGCUGGAAUAAUAGGGACCUGUCUGAAUAACCCAAGAAGAGGGGAAACCAGCAUGUCACCAGCUGCUGUGAUGGAGUCAGGUAGCACAGGGAAGUGGCUCAGAGCAGGGACUCUGGAGCUAGACUGCCUGCGUUUGAGAUCCUGCUCAGCCAAUUACUAGCUGGGUGAUCUUGGCAAGGUUUUUUGUUAAAACUGUUAUGCCUUAAUAUCUUUAAAAUAGGGAUAAUAAUA